UACGAAGGGGGCGAGCGUUGUUCGGAUUUACUGGGCGUAAAGGGCGCGCAGGCGGCGAUCUUUGUCAGGCGUGAAAGCCCCGGGCUUAACCUGGGAACUGCGCUUGGGACGGGAUUGCUGGAGACCGGGAGAGGAGAGUGGAAUUCCCAGUGUAGAGGUGAAAUUCGUAGAUAUUCGCAAGAACACCAGUGGCGAAGGCGGCUCACUGGCCCGGUACUGACGCUGAGGUGCGAAAGCGUGGGGAGCAAACAGG
rnacentral:rRNA from 1 species